rnacentral:rRNA from 1 species
AGUGAACGCUGGCGGUAGGCCUAACACAUGCAAGUCGACCGGCAGCACAGGAGAGCUUGCUCUCUGGGUGGCGAGUGGCGGACGGGUGAGGAAUACAUCGGAAUCUACUUUUUCGUGGGGGAUAACGUAGGGAAACUUACGCUAAUACCGCAUACGACCUACGGGUGAAAGCAGGGGAUCUUCGGACCUUGCGCGAUUGAAUGAGCCGAGGUCGGAAUAGCUAGUUGGCGGGGUAAAGGCCCACCAAGGCGACGAUCCGUAGCUGGUGUGAGAGGAUGAUCAGCCACACUGGAACUGAGACACGGUCCAGACUCCUACGGGAGGCAGCAGUGGGGAAUAUUGGACAAUGGGCGCAAGCCUGAUCCAGCCAUACCGCGUGGGUGAAGAAGGCCUUCGGGUUGUAAAGCCCUUUUGUUGGGAAAGAAAUCCAGCUGGUUAAUACCCGGUUGGGAUGACGGUACCCAAAGAAUAAGCACCGGCUAACUUCGUGCCAGCAGCCGCCGCAG